AUUGAACGCUGGCGGCAGGCCUAACACAUGCAAGUCGAACGAGUGGCGGACGGGUGAGUAAUGUCUGGGAAACUGCCCGAUGGAGGGGGAUAACUACUGGAAACGGUAGCUAAUACCGCAUACAAUCAGAUGUGCCCCGAUGGGAUUAGCUUGUUGGUGGGGUAACGGCUCACCAAGGCGACGAUCCCUAGCUGGUCUGAGAGGAUGACCAGCCACACUGGAACUGAGACACGGUCCAGACGCCUACGGUAGGCAGCAGUGGGGAAUAUUGCACAAUGGGCGCAAGCCUGAUGCAGCCAUUCCGCGGGUAUGAAGAAGGCCUGCGGGUUUUAAAGUACUUUCAGCGGGGAGGCGUUACCCGCAGAAGAAGCACCGGCUAACUCCGUGCCAGCAGCCGCGGUAAUUG
rnacentral:rRNA from 1 species